GACGAACGCUGGCGGCGUGCUUAACACAUGCAAGUCGAACGGAAAGGCCCUGCUUUUGUGGGGUGCUCGAGUGGCGAACGGAUGAGUAACACGUGAGUAACCUGCCCUUGACUUUGGGAUAACUUCAGGAAACUGGGGCUAAUACCGGAUAGGAGCUCCUGCUGCAUGGUGGGGGUUGGAAAGUUUCGGCGGUUGGGGAUGGACUCGCGGCUUAUCAGCUUGUUGGUGGGGUAGUGGCUUACCAAGGCUUUGACGGGUAGCCGGCCUGAGAGGGUGACCGGCCACAUUGGGACUGAGAUACGGCCCAGACUCCUACGGGAGGCAGCAGUGGGGAAUAUUGCACAAUGGGCGGAAGCCUGAUGCAGCAACGCCGCGUGCGGGAUGACGGCCUUCGGGUUGGUAACCGCUUUCGCCUAUGACGAAGCGUGAGUGACGGUAAUGGGUAAAGAAGCACCGGCUAACUACGUG
rnacentral:rRNA from 1 species